rnacentral:rRNA from 1 species
GCAGCAGGCGCGCAAAUUACCCACUCCCGGCACGGGGAGGUAGUGACGAAAAAUAACGAUACGGGACUCAUCCGAGGCCCCGUAAUCGGAAUGAGCACACUUUAAAGACUUUAACGAGUAUCCAUUGGAGGGCAAGUCUGGUGCCAGCAGCCGCGGUAAUUCCAGCUCCAAUAGCGUAUAUUAAAGUUGCUGCGGUUAAAAAGCUCGUAGUUGGACUUGUGUCCCGCGCUGUCGGUUCACCGUUNGUCGGUGUCUAACUGGCAUGCCGCGCGGACGUCCUGCUGGUGGAUGCGGUCGGCCGCGGGCUUCUGGCUCGCGCGUCGGCGGUCCGGUGCAAUCCUACCGCGGUGCUCUUCACCGAGUGUCGAGGUGGGCCAGCACGUUUACUUUGAACAAAUUAGAGUGCUUAAAGCAGGCAUGGGUUCGCCUGAAUACUGUGUGCAUGGAAUAAUGGAAUAGGACCUCGGUUCUAUUUCGUUGGUUUCCGGAACCCGAGGUAAUGAUUAAUAGGGACAGACGGGGGCAUUCGUAUUGCGACGUUAGAGGUGAAAUUCUUGGAUCGUCGCAAGACGAACCUAAGCGAAAGCAUUUGCCAUGAGUGUUUUCAUUAAUCAAGAACGAAAGUUAGAGGUUCGAAGGCGAUCAGAUACCGCCCUAGUUCUAACCAUAAACGAUGCCAGCCAGCGAUCCGCCGACGUUCCUAAGAUGACUCGGCGGGCAGCCCCCGGGAAACCAAAGCUUUUGGGUUCCGGGGGAAGUAUGGUUGCAAAGCUGAAACUUAAAGGAAUUGACGGAAGGGCACCACCAGGAGUGGAGCCUGCGGCUUAAUUUGACUCAACACGGGAAACCUCACCAGGCCCGGACACCGGAAGGAUUGACAGAUUGAGAGCUCUUUCUUGAUUCGGUGGGUGGUGGUGCAUGGCCGUUCUU